GGCUAACUGAUUGCUAUUGCACCACAUGUGUUUUUCUUUGAAACAAACUUGCUUUGGCGGUGGGCCCAGCCUGCCGCCAGAGGUCUAAACUUACAACCAAUUUUUUAUCAACUUGUCACACCAGAUUAUUACUAAUAGUCAAAACUUUCAACAACGGAUCUCUUGGUUCUCGCAUCGAUGAAGAACGCAGCGAAAUGCGAUACGUAAUAUGAAUUGCAGAUAUUCGUGAAUCAUCGAAUCUUUGAACGCACAUUGCGCCCUCUGGUAUUCCGGAGGGCAUGCCUGUUUGAGCGUCGUUUCUCCCUCAAACCGCUGGGUUUGGUGUUGAGCAAUACGACUUGGGUUUGCUUGAAAGACGGUAGUGGUAAGGCGGGAUCGCUUUGACAAUGGCUUAGGUCUAACCAAAAACAUUGCUUGCGGCGGUAACGUCCACCACGUAUAUCUUCAAACUUUGACCUCAAAUCAGGUAGGACUACCCGCUGAACUUAAGCAUAUCAAAAGGGGGGAGGAA
rnacentral:rRNA from 1 species